rnacentral:sRNA from 1 species
UGACCACUUACGAACAAGUAAGUUAAAGCCAUACGGACAGCUAGGUCAAAUGCCGA